rnacentral:rRNA from 1 species
UACGUAGGGGGCAAGCGUUGUCCGGAUUUAUUGGGCGUAAAGAGCGUGUAGGCGGUCAGGUAGGUCCGUUGUGAAAACUCGAGGCUCAACCUCGAGACGCCGAUGGAAACCAUCUGACUAGAGUCCGGAAGAGGAGAGUGGAAUUCCUGGUGUAGCGGUGAAAUGCGCAGAUAUCAGGAAGAACACCCGUGGCUAAGGCGGCUCUCUAGUACGGUACUGACGCUGAGACGCGAAAGCGUGGGGAGCGAACGGG